rnacentral:lncRNA from 1 species
AUUUUGGUUUUACAUUAAAAAGAAGGCGGACGAGAAGAUGUUGUAGGUGACUUCCUAGCUGUGUUAAGUUGCUCCUGGGCUGUGAAUGGUGUUAAUUUCUGAAGUGGGCGGCUCCAAAAACUUAACAAGGAAAGCUCAGGUAACGGAGGCCUUGGAAAGAGACUCUGCGUCAGGUCACCCAGCAGAGAUCAGCAAUCCUUGGCUCACUGAGGAGGUUUGGUAAGUUGGCAUCAUCUUCACCAUGACUCAAAUGCACAUAACCCGGUGGCGGGGGAGAAAAGUGGGUGAACAUCACAUAGCGACAUCAAAAUGCUAAUCCUUGCCACCCCCCUUUGUUUUUGUUUUUACAAACGUAUUGUUGUUGUGUUUGUUUAAUUUACUAGGCCAGAGUGCCCUGUAUGUUUGUAAGCACAAAUGUCCUCAGAGGACUCCCACAGCCAAAAAGAAUGACAGAGGUGUAUUUGAAUGAUUUCAGUGAAACUCUUUUAAUACUGAUUUCAUGAAAAUGUCUGGUGGUGGGUUCUUCCUGUAGCAUUACUGCAUAUCAUCAACUAGAAUGCAUCCCCCGCCCUUCACACAUACAAUUUAACAUGUCUGAAAUUCGGUGCACCUUAUGCAAACAGGUCUGGUGAAAUACAGCAUUUCUCUGAUAAUCCCCAAAUGACCAGCAUUAAGUAUUCCCUACCUUCUAUUUUUCACACAAUACAAAUGUUUUUUUUUUUUUUUUCUUUUUAGAGGGUUGAAUUUUUAAGGGUAAGAAAUGCAUAGUCUGAUGAGUAGAUGAUUAGUAAGAAGUCUGUGCUUACCAAAGAAAGAAUUUAGGUUUCCUUUUUUGUUUUUGUUUUUGAAAUGAAGUCACAUUAUCACCCAGGCUGGAGUGCAGUGGCACGAUCUCGGCUCACUGCAACCUCUGCUCCUGGGUUUAUGUGAUUCUCCUGCCUCAGCCUCCCGAGUAGCUGGGACUGACUACAGGCACGCACCAUCACACCUGGCUAAUUAUUGUAUUUUUAGUCGAGAUGGGGUUUCACCAUGUUGGCCAGGCUGGUCUCAAACUCCUGACCUCAAGUGAUCUGCCCACCUCAGCCUCCCAAAGUGCUGGGAUUAUAGGCAUGAGCCACCACACCCAGCCAGAAUUUAGUUUUCUAAUACUGAAAGAAAAACUUUUUUUUUUGGUGACUUCAUAUGAUAGUCUUGAGAUGAGCACCCCAAGGACCUUGUAAAUAGUGGGCGCUGGCACUCAGAACAGCCCAUGUGAGAUAAUGAAGCAGCCUUCCAGACAUAAGAUCCCAGAAUCAGACACUUAUCCAAGGUUCCCCUCCUGCAAUCAGCGGGUAGGAGUUUGCAAUGAAAACACUCCAUGCUAUGUCCCAGAGUGACUCGUUCAUUUAUCCGUGAAAGCAGAGUCCAAAUCCAUGUUCAUGUUAAAUGUGCAGAAAAAUAGCAUCUUGAGAGUUAAUGCCACAGAAUGGGCAUGAUUCCCUAAGCCACAUUUGCCUGAUUGAGACAGACUUUAACAUUUGCAAAACCUCCAUGUUAUGAGACCCUAUAGGUGAUAGUACAUGAUCUGUAGGGAUACAAGUAAAUCCAUUAACAAACAUUUUUUGAGCACCUGCUAUGUGCCAGGCUCUGUGCUAGGCUCUGUGCUAGAUGUAGCAUAAUUAAGAAGUAAUUAGGACAGAAAGGAUUGCUGUCCCCACAGGGCUACUUUAGUAGUCACAGAAGAUAUUAAAUAAUACAUUAACAGAGUAAUGAGUGGGCUGAUGAAGAACUGUAAGGAGUUAAGAGUCUAAAACAAGAAAACCUAAGCUAGCCAGAGUGGCUCACGCCUGCAAUCCCAGCACAUAGGGAGGCCAGGGUGAGAGGAUCACUUGAGCUCAGGAGUUCAAGACCAACCUGGGCAACAUAAUGAGACCUGUCUCUACAAAAAUUUAAAAAUUGUCAUCCCAUUCUCUACUGGAAAAUAAAAAAUUAGCUGGGUAUGCUGGCACGCACCCAUAGUCCCAGCUACUUGGGAGGCUGCAGUGAGAGAAUUGCUUAGGCCUGGGAGGUUGAGGCUACAGUGAGCCAAGAUUGCAUCACUGCAGUCUAGCCAGGGCAACAGAGCAAGACCCUAUCUCG